GUCAGAGUUUGAUCCUGGCUCAGGAUGAACGCUAGCGGCAGGCUUAACACAUGCAAGUCGAGGGGUAUAGUUCUUCGGAGCUAGAGACCGGCGCACGGGUGCGUAACGCGUAUGCAAUCUACCUUUUACAGAGGGAUAGCCCAGAGAAAUUUGGAUUAAUACCUCAUAGUAUGUGAGAAUCGCAUGGUUUUCACAUUAAAGUUCCAACGGUAAAAGAUGAGCAUGCGUCCCAUUAGCUAGAUGGUAAGGUAACGGCUUACCAUGGCGACGAUGGGUAGGGGUCCUGAGAGGGAGAUCCCCCGACACUGGUACUGAGACACGGACCAGACUCUACGGGGAGCAGCAGUAGGGAAUAUUGGGCAAUGGACGCAAGUCUGACCCCAGCCCAUG
rnacentral:rRNA from 1 species